GUUCAAUUCCUGCUGGAUAACAUCAAAACAUUUGUUUUCGAACAAGGCAAAGCAACAUUAUCGGCAGGAAAAUAUAG
rnacentral:precursor_RNA from 1 species